rnacentral:rRNA from 1 species
AGAGUUUGAUCCUGGCUCAGGAUGAACGCUAGCGACAGGCUUAACACAUGCAAGUCGAGGGGCAGCACAGGUAGCAAUACCGGGUGGCGACCGGCGCACGGGUGAGUAACGCGUAUGCAACUUGCCUAUCAGAGGGGGAUAACCCGGCGAAAGUCGGACUAAUACCGCAUGAAGCAGGGAUCCCGCAUGGGAAUAUUUGCUAAAGAUUCAUCGCUGAUAGAUAGGCAUGCGUUCCAUUAGGCAGUUGGCGGGGUAACGGCCCACCAAACCGACGAUGGAUAGGGGUUCUGAGAGGAAGGUCCCCCACAUUGGUACUGAGACACGGACCAAACUCCUACGGGAGGCAGCAGUGAGGAAUAUUGGUCAAUGGCCGAGAGGCUGAACCAGCCAAGUCGCGUGAGGGAUGAAGGUUCUAUGGAUCGUAAACCUCUUUUAUAAGGGAAUAAAGUGCGGGACGUGUCCCGUUUUGUAUGUACCUUAUGAAUAAGGAUCGGCUAACUCCGUGCCAGCAGCCGCGGUAAUACGGAGGAUCCGAGCGUUAUCCGGAUUUAUUGGGUUUAAAGGGUGCGUAGGCGGCCUUUUAAGUCAGCGGUGAAAGUCUGUGGCUCAACCAUAGAAUUGCCGUUGAAACUGGGGGGCUUGAGUAUGUUUGAGGCAGGCGGAAUGCGUGGUGUAGCGGUGAAAUGCAUAGAUAUCACGCAGAACCCCGAUUGCGAAGGCAGCCUGCCAAGCCAUUACUGACGCUGAUGCACGAAAGCGUGGGGAUCAAACAGGAUUAGAUACCCUGGUAGUCCACGCAGUAAACGAUGAUCACUAGCUGUUUGCGAUACACUGUAAGCGGCACAGCGAAAGCGUUAAGUGAUCCACCUGGGGAGUACGCCGGCAACGGUGAAACUCAAAGGAAUUGACGGGGGCCCGCACAAGCGGAGGAACAUGUGGUUUAAUUCGAUGAUACGCGAGGAACCUUACCCGGGUUUGAACGCAUUCGGACCGAGGUGGAAACACCUUUUCUAGCAAUAGCCGUUUGCGAGGUGCUGCAUGGUUGUCGUCAGCUCGUGCCGUGAGGUGUCGGCUUAAGUGCCAUAACGAGCGCAACCCUUGCCACUAGUUACUAACAGGUUAGGCUGAGGACUCUGGUGGGACUGCCAGCGUAAGCUGCGAGGAAGGCGGGGAUGACGUCAAAUCAGCACGGCCCUUACAUCCGGGGCGACACACGUGUUACAAUGGCGUGGACAAAGGGAGGCCACCUGGCGACAGGGAGCGAAUCCCCAAACCACGUCUCAGUUCGGAUCGGAGUCUGCAACCCGACUCCGUGAAGCUGGAUUCGCUAGUAAUCGCGCAUCAGCCAUGGCGCGGUGAAUACGUUCCCGGGCCUUGUACACACCGCCCGUCAAGCCAUGGGAGCCGGGGGUACCUGAAGUCCGUAACCGAAAGGAUCGGCCUAGGGUAAAACUGGUGACUGGGGCUAAGUCGUAACAAGGUAGCCGUACCGGAAGGUGCGGCUGGAACACCU